rnacentral:tRNA from 1 species
GGGCGGUUAGCUCAGCUGGUUAGAGCACCUGCCUUACAAGCAGGGGGUCACUGGUUCGAAUCCAGUACCGCCCA